rnacentral:piRNA from 1 species
UACCAAGAAAAACUGUCGAAUCCACAAGC